rnacentral:lncRNA from 1 species
GGCCCGGAGCCCCAAAAGCCCAACGGAAGAAGCUGUGCUUUCUUUUCCGCGCGGCUGUCGACGGAGGAGGGCUUGCGAAGCUUGGUUGGUCAUGCGGACCGGGCGGCAGCGCCAGCGGACCAGUCGCUGGGUCCUUCGAGGUGGGAGUCCUUGCGGUCUUAGUUCAACCUGUUACUACCGGGAACCCGACUCGUUGCCGGAACCCAGGCCCGCCUCUGGUCUCUGCCCUGGGGCCCCCGUGUAAAGGGCCUCCGACCUUGCCGAGCACAGCCGAGUAAGCGGCAUGGCCGCGAGGUCGGCCCGGGAGGCAGCCUUCCCCUUCUGCCACCCAGAGCGUCCUGGGUUAUUGGCUCUGUCGCAUUUUUUAGUAACCAGCCGCGAGUGUCUGCUGACCCUUUUUUUAAGUAAACGCCCGUUUCGACUGUUCUAAAGUCAAAAAUUAAUAAAGGGCCUUCUCAGAUUGAGGUGGUUUCGAGGCGGCUGGAAGGUAUGGCGCGUGGUUUUGGUGUACGCCGGGGCCUCCUUCGGAGCAAUUUUGUAUCCCCAGCAAAGCCUUGUGUGCAGCCUAGACGGUUUUAGGGUCCCUUAGUGGGCGACUUAUUCGUAGUACGCAAGCAUUUUAUAAAAGGGGAAAGGCAUUAUCUCUAGGAUAUUAAAGACAACCUUUACUUAACUGUAGUUUGUGAUUGGCUUUUAAAAUUGUUAUCAGUUUAGUAACAGUUCUGGUAGCGACUUAGGACAGUGACUUGUCGCAUGUGUUUGUGAAUCUUCCUUUGUAAAUAUCUUCUAAAAACGUGAUGUUUUGAAGUUGGGAGAACAUUAUGUACUGUUUAGAACCUCCCUAAGCCAUAAAUGCCUGCUCUACCCUUAGAUGCUUGCAUUUAUAUAGAGAUGUGUAUUUCUGGACAUAAUACUGAAGAAACUGGUCAACAGCUGGGAGGCUGGAAGAACGUGUUGCCUAUUCAAAAACAAGAUAUUGGGGCGCCUGGCUGGCUCAGUUGGAGGAUCUUGGGGUGGGGGUUGUCAGUUUGAGCUCCACUUUGGAUAUAGAUAUUACUUAAAUAAAUACUUUAAAAUGGUAUUAAUACCUCAUCGAUGAAACGGUAUAAUCCUGUGUCGGGCUUUUUUGUUGUUACCUCCUCCCAAAUAUGUUGCUGUCACCAGGGCAUUUGAUGGCUAAAAAUAGUUUACAUUUGGUAUUAGUCAUCUUUAUUUUGAGGCAUAAGUGGCAUCAAUCCUACUUUUAUUGCUAAAUACUGGGGGUUUUAAAACCAAAUGUUUGGUAAAAAUACUGAUAACAGGUAAAUCCUGAAGCAUAAUAAAUACGGAGCCCACCACACCAUUUAACAACUGUGAUUUUUCUCAUUACUCUAGCAUCUAAUUCUUUACCUAUCACAUAACUCCUGCCUUCAACCUAUCUUCAUAACUCCUGAGGUGCCUCUCAUCUGGGAUUUUGUAUCCUGGCUCUUAGCUUUUUGAGCUGAGUGGGAAGGAUAGCAGAUUUAUUUAUUUAUUUAUUUUUAUUUUUUUAAUAUUUUUUUUCAAUAUAUGAAAUUUAUUGUCAAAUUGGUUUUCAUGCAACACCCAGUGCUCAUCCCAAAAGGUGCCCUCCUCAAUACCCAUCACCCACCCCCAUCAACCCUCAGUUUAUUCUCAGUUUUUAAGAGUCUCUUAUGCUUUGGCUCUCUUCCACUCUAACCUCUUUUUUUUUCCUUCCCCUCCCCCAUGGGUUUCUUAAGUUUCUCAGGAUCCACAUAAGAGUGAAACCAUAUGGUAUCUGUCUUUCUCUGUAUGGCUUAUUUCACUUAGCAUCACACUCUCCAGUUCCAUCCACGUUGCUACAAAGGGCCAUAUUUCAUUCUUUCUCAUUGCCACGUAGUACUCCAUUGUGUAUAUAAACCACAAUUUCUUUACCCAUUCAUCAGGUGAUGGACAUUUAGGCUCUUUCCAUAAUUUGGCUAUUGUUGAGAGUGCUGCUAUAAACAUUGGGGUACAAGUGCCCUUAUGCAUCAGUACUCCUGUAUCCCUUGGGUAAAUUCCUAGCAGUGCUAUUGCUGGAUAAUAGGGUAGGUCUAUUUUUAAUUUUUUGAGGAACCUCCACACUGUUUUCCAGAGUGGCUGCACCAAUUUGCAUUCCCACCAACAGUGCAAGAGGGUUCCCAUUUCUCCACGUCCUCAAAAAUAUGGAACGCUUCACGAAUUUGCGUGUCAUCCUUGCACAGGGGCCAUGCUAAUCUUCUCUGUAUCGUUCCAAUUUUAGUAUAUGUGCUGCCGAAGCAGGCACAGCAGUUUUAUUACAAAUAUGUAUCACUAAACAUUCUUGUAGGAUUUACACAAAUGAGAUUAUGCAUAUAGUUGUCAGUAGUUCCCAUGAAUCUCAUUACACUGAAACUUUCCAAGUUGGUAUUAUUCAUAACUACUAGUUUGUGUUCCUAAUAUUGACGAUGUGAAAUUAUUUCCAGACUUGAAAAUGAUAAAUUGUUUUGCAGGGUACAACAUUUGAUGUGUCUUCAUAAAUCAUUUCCAGUAGCUGUCUGGUUCAAUGAUUUACCCUCCUGGGGUGCUGUAAGAGAUGAUCUGUGGCCCUGGCCGUUCUUUGCACUACCUAAGUGUGCUUUCAGGCGACCUGGGACUUAAUUCUACAAGACUGUCCAAUAAUGAUGUCAACAUAAUGUAUCUGCUCUAAAACUACAUUAGAUUUGCCAUUGUGAUGCUUUAGUUGGAGGUCUACACACUUGUUUUUAUACAUCUAACCUUUAACCUGACUCAUCUCAUCCUUGUCAAGCUCUGAGACAGAAAAGCAAUGGCUAGGUACUCAUUAGGACCAUCAUGUCCUAACAUCGAUACUGCCACAGUAAAGAACAUCCUAUAUAUAGCCACAAUUUUUCCUAUCCAUGCUAAUAAACCCAUUUCCAGCUUGGAAAGAUCAUUUAUAGAAUUAUUAGGGCCUAAACAGUCAAAAGUACUAAUCUGUUCAAGCCAUUACAGAGGUUCUAAAUUUUGGGGUUAUCCGUUUGGACUACCAAAAAAAGUAGAACUAAGCAGAAAGUACUUCAUUCCAUGAGAGAUGUGUUAAAUAACAAAAUUAUUCCAGUAUAUGGCCUCAAAUGUUAGUAGUUUUUAUAAAAAGUUAGAUGGGAGUCAGGAAGGUUGUAAGUAAAAUGUUUAUGGCUCCUGAUGAGAGUGAAAAAGUCUUACUGGACCAUUCCUGCAUAUAAGAUGCCAAACAGAUGGCAAGUACAAAUGAGAAUUCACAAUGAAAUAUUUUGAUUUCUAGGUACAACAGAGCCUAUGAGUUGAAGAUGAAUGAACGUUGUGAUGUUUUCCAAAAACAUCUGAGGAUGGCUGUGAUAAAACCACUAGGAGCGCAACUGCAUGUAAUGAGGUACCAAAACUUAAUGUUAAACACUGUGCUUUGUUAUGUAUUUAUGGUACUGUCUAUGAAAAGCAGUACCAAAAACAUUUAGUAGGUUUUUGACCUAGAUAGGUUUAGUAACUGGCACAAUGAUGACUUAAAUUACUUUUUGCCGUUUACCCAGCUGAGGGUUUCUUUGAAGAAAUAAUUUGAAGACUGAGAUGCCAGUUAUGUAUAUUGUUUAUGUGAAUUACUCAAGUAUAAUGCAAUUUUUCAUUAAAAUGGGUUAUAUGUUCUUUUCAGCAUGUAGGUAGCUGCAGAUGAAUGUCCAAGUCCAUAACUGUUGUGGUUAAAAAUUCUUCAUUGCCUCGGUAAGUAAUUCUGGCAAUCACAGCUAAUAAUAAUUCAAAAGUAUCUGAAACUCCAAAGGGUUAGGGCUAUAUCCUGUUAAAGUUGCCUGUGUGUGUGUUGUCAGAAGUCUGAUUCUCCUUUGAUUUUGACUAUGGAGUGAUUUUCAUUGUUGGUUUCUGAUUUUUUUCCCCAGAGGCAUGCAGUUGGAAGGAAAAAUGAAGAAUUGGUCAAGAAGACAUGAAUAAAUACUUUAUUUAACAUUGAUCACCUCACAAUAAGUUAUGUAGAGAAAUACAUGCUUGAAUACUUUUAACUGUUGGGCAGUAAAGUCUGCUAUCUUUAAAAUAUAUUGAGUGUUUACCAUAAUUACUAGUCAGAUUUGUUUUUAGCAUACUUUAAGAAAGUAUGUUCUUUAUCAAUAAAUAAGUAUUUGGAAUCUCCUAAACACCUUAACAAAUUAUCCCUUACAAAUAAAGAUUUCACCUGUGACCUACAU